rnacentral:rRNA from 1 species
UACGUAGGGGGCAAGCGUUGUCCGGAUUUAUUGGGCGUAAAGAGCGUGUAGGCGGCUAUACAGGUCCGUUGUGAAAACUCGAGCUCAACCUCGAGACGCCGAUGGAAACCGUAUGGCUAGAGUCCGGAAGAGGAGAGCGGAAUUCCUGGUGUAGCGGUGAAAUGACUUAGAUAUGACAUAGAACACCAAUUGCGAAGGCAGCUCACUACCCAGAUAUUGACACUGAGGCACGAAAGCGUGGGGAUCAAACAGG